CCUGUGGUGUUUGAGGAGCUGCCGGUGGUGUUCGAGGAUGUGGCAGUGUAUUUCACCCGGGAGGAGUGGGGCAUGCUAGACAAGUGGCAGAAGGAGCUGUACAGAGACGUGAUGCGGAUGAACUACGAGCUGUUGGCAUCCUUGGAGAUGGGGUCUCACUUUGCUGCCCAGGCUGGUCUCAAGUGAUCCUGCUGACUCAGCCCCCCAAAGUGUUGGAUUAUGGCGUGAGCCACUGCACCUGGCUUGCCAUAUCUGAUGAAGUCUGUUGCUUCUUCCCAAAAAGCAGCCAGAAAUCUCAAUUACAUCCCACUGUUAAGAAA
rnacentral:sRNA from 1 species